rnacentral:tRNA from 1 species
GCAGCCCUUGACACACCGUCUUUCUGGCUACGGACCAGAAGGUCGGGGGUUCGAAUCCCUCAGGGCGCGCCA